rnacentral:rRNA from 1 species
AACUUUCAACAACGGAUCUCUGGGUUCUGGCAUCAAUAAAAAACGCACCGAAAUGCAAUAAUUAAGGGGAAUUGCAAAAUUCAGGGAAUCAUCAAAUCUUUGAACGCACAUUGCGCCCGCUGGAAUUCCAGCGGGCAUGCCUGUUCAAGCGUCAUUU